CAACCAUCAAGCGCCUGCGCUUGUGUUGGAGCCCUGCGGCUGCCGCAGGCUCCCAAACCCAGUGGCGGGCUCGUCGUCGUACCGAGUGCAGUAAACUUACCACGCUCAGGGCACGCGACGGGUGACCGGCCGUAAAACCCCCCCCCUUCUCAA
rnacentral:misc_RNA from 1 species